AUAACCGCUGAAAGCAUCUAAGCGGGAAGCCUGCUUCAAGAUGAGGUAUCCCACCCUACUUUGUGGGGGUAAGGCCCCCAGCUAGACGACUGGGUUGAUAGGCCGGAGAUGUAAGCUCGGUAACGGGUUGAGUUGACCGGUACUAAUAGGCCGAGGACUUGACUA
rnacentral:rRNA from 1 species